CCGAGCAAGGGUUCCCCAGUCGGGGCCCGACCUCUUCACCGUGCUGAAUCGGACCCUGUUGCUUCAGCGGGCUGGGGGGUGAUGCCUUCGCCCUCCCCAGCUAGGCCCGCUGGAGACCCUUGUCAAAUACCGAUGUGUCAACAGAUGCCUGUCUGAGUGGGAAUGCAAUCUAGUCGCA
rnacentral:misc_RNA from 1 species